rnacentral:rRNA from 1 species
AAGGUAGCAUAAUCAUUUGUUUUUUAAUUAAAAACUGGAAUGAAGGAGGCGACAAAAUACAAUCUUUUGAUUUAAAAAGUUAAUUUGACAUAAGAGUUAAAAGGCUCUUAUCCACCUGAGGGACGAUAAGACCCUAUAAAACUUUACUUUUCGUUAGUUUUUUUUAGAAUAAAAAUAAAAUAAAAGUUUAACUGGGGCGGUUUUUACUAAACCUGUAAUAACUUAAAUAUAAAAAAUAAACAUAUAUAACUUAUUUAAAAAUUUAAACAAGUUACUUUAGGGAUAACAGCAUAAUCCCCUCGGAGAGUCCAAAUCGGGGAGGGGGAUUAUGACCUCGAUGUUGAAUUGAGAAUAUUUUUAUUGGGCAGCCCCAUAAARAAUUAGUCUGUUCGACUAUUAAAUUCUC